AUGCGGGAGGGAAAAAGGAAAACCAAACAGGGGAUUUGCGUUAGUAAACUGCGAGUGAAGCGGCGCAAAAGCUCAAAUUUGAAAUCUGACGUUUUUGACGUUCGAAUUGUAAUUUGGAGGGAUAUCUUCGGAGCAGGCGCUGUCCUAAGUUCUUUGGAACCAGACAUCAUAGAGGGUGAGAAUCCCGUGCCUGGGUGGCUGUCCCGCUCCAUGUGAAGUGUCUCCGACGAGUCGAGUUGUUUGGGAAUGCAGCUCAAAAUGGGUGGUAAAUUUCAUCUAAAGCUAAAUAUUGGCGAGAGACCGAUAGCGCACAAGUAGAGUGAUCGAAAGAUGAAAAGCACUUUGAAAAGAGAGUUAAACAGUACGUGAAAUUGUUGAAAGGGAAGCGCUUGAGACUAGAUUCGACUGGCGGUCAUCAGCUACGUUUUUGCGUGGUGCACUUGCCGUCGGUUGAGCCAGCAUCGGUUUCGAUGGCGGGAUAAAGGUUUCAGGAAUGUGGCUCCUCAAUUUUGAGGAGUGUUAUAGCCUGGAGCGCAAUGCUGCCUGUCGGGACCGAGGACCGCGCUUUUGCUAGGAUGCUGGCUAAAAGGUCUUAAGCGGCCCGUCUUGAAACACGGACCAAGGAGUCUAACAUCUAUGCGAGUGUUCGGGUGGAAAACCCUUGCGCGUAAUGAAAGUGAACGGAGGUGGGAACCCCUUUGGGGUGCACCAUCGACCGAUCCCGAUGUUUACGGAAGGAUUUGAGUAGGAGCAUAGCUGUUGGGACCCGAAAGAUGGUGAACUAUGCCUGAAUAGGGUGAAGCCAGAGGAAACCUUGGUGGAAGCUCGCAGCGGUUCUGACGUGCAAAUCGAUCGUCAAAUUUGGGUAUAGGGGCGAAAGACUAAUCGAACCAUCUAGUUUGCUAGUAGCUGUCUGCGAUAUUUCUCUCUCCCGCAGAAGAACUGUUCAACCACCGCUCACCAGUAAGCGGUUUGCUGAUUAUGCUCUUGCCUAAUAUCAAAUAUGUAGAGACUGAG
rnacentral:rRNA from 1 species